rnacentral:lncRNA from 1 species
CUUGGAUCAUUAUUCAGGUACGUUUUUUUUACAUGAUCUUUUAGUUUGUAGCCUCACACAUAAAUUCUCACUCUAACUUUAGUAUCGAAAGGGUGACGAGAACACACCUAAACACCUUUGAUUCAGAUACUGAAAGAUCUCUUUCGUGCUCAUUCUUAGUCAUUAAGCUCAAAAAUCAACAAGUACGACUCUGUAGCAUCAGCCGCCGUGUUCACCCUAAAAUCCCCUUUAACUCCACGGAGGCUUUAUAAUCCCCGUCUGAACAGCCCUAGUUUUGUUCUCCUUAACAAAGUAGAGAGAAUACAAAAACGUCAAAGCAUUCUUUUACCUCAAAAAUCCCCUAUCUACUGCAAAUUCACCAACGACAAAAUCGCUCCAAACCUGCCAAUUGCGAUUUUAUUCUCUUCGAUCUAGGAGAGUCGAAGUAAAGCGUAAGCUGUGUCCUCGCUCACUUUUUUCACACAAAACCACACUUCCAUUUGUACGAAUAUUAAUCUCAAUGAACAAAUUAUAAAGUCUUCUUUUCAUCAAAACCUAAUUUGAUUUUAAAGCUUUCGUUGUCUAGUAACUGGUUGAACAAACUAAAAAAAGAGUUAACAAAAUCAAAUGUAAAACUAACCUAUGAAACUUUUAUAUACAUUUUGAAGAAAUUGGACAAAGACCCAAAAAAAGCUUCAAAAUUUUUCAAAUGAUUUGUUGAGAAAAAUGGGUUUGAACCCAAUUCUUCUAUAUAUAGCUUGAUGUUAAGAAUUUAUGCUGAGAAGGAUUUAACAACGAAACUUUAGGACACAUCUAUAAUUUUAGGGCUGGUUGGUGUUGGGCCAUUGCUGACAAGAGGCAAAUUUAGGUUCAAGCAGGGAACAAUUUUGUGUAACGGCUUCAUCUGAAAAAACAGCUAUGCUGCCAACCCUUUAGCAGUAUGGUUUUUGCAAAUCUGGGUUUGAUAUCACCUAAUUUUUUUGACAAAAAGCAUGAAUUUUUCCAACAAAGUUCGAACCUUUUUGUCGGCAUCGAUUACACAUUUGGAAAUAUCUUCAAUUUGCAAUUUUUGUCUUGUUGAUGCUUUAUUUCCAACACCCACGUGUUUCCACCCACGAUGAGGAGAGCAGAGGACGAGGAUAAUGGGUGAAUGUUGUAAGAAAUGAGAGAAAUUUCUGCAAGAAGAAAGGGCUUCAAUAGGAAAGAUGAUCCGUUUGGCGUUAGGGAUGAAUGGGCUAUAUUUUGUAGGACAAUAUUACCCUUCCUUUUUUAAAAGAAAGUUGCAUACAUGGGUUCAUUUAAUGGAAUAAUUGAUAGGAAAUGGACCGAAUGAAAAUUUACGCAACAAAAGGUGUAAAUAAGGACGAAAAUGUCAAAAAAUAAAAAAUAUGAACGUCUUACACAAUCAUAAUGAAAUAUAAGAAUGUUUUGCACUAAUUACCCUUCUGAAAAUAUAUAUUUUGGUCACAAGUGCUGGAUUUAGAAGAGGAAAUAUGAUACAACAAUCCUAUAUGUUAACAAGUUUAGCUGUGUUUCAAAUCAACUUAAAUAAGAUACAAUGAAGAAAAACAAAUGAAAUGUGAAUAUAUUGUCAUUUAUGUUUAAGAUUAGCUUUUCGAAUAGUGAAAUAUGUUCUUAUAGCAUAAGUUGACCUCCAAAUUUUGAUAGGACAUGCUUACACGCAAUGCACGCAUUAAACGUUCAAGACUGAAACAUCUCCAAACAAAGGUAGGGAGGCUUUGAUCAUGCGACUUUCAAUGCUCAAGUCUAAAAGGGGAUAAUGAAGUAUAUUCG